rnacentral:rRNA from 1 species
UACGAACUGUGCGAACGUUAUUCGGAAUCACUGGGCUUAAAGGGUGCGUAGGCGGUUACUCAAGUCAGGUGUGAAAUCUCUCGGCUCAACCGGGAAACUGCGCUUGAAACUAGGUGACUGGAGGGAUGCAGGGGUGUGUGGAACUUCCGGUGGAGCGGUGAAAUGUGUAGAUAUCGGAAGGAACGCCAGCAGCGAAAGCGGCACACUGGGCAUUUACUGACGCUGAGGCACGAAAGCUAGGGGAGUGAACGGG